CGAGUCCUGGCCUUGUCUGUGGAGACGGAUUACACCUUCCCACUUGCUGAAAAGGUAAAAGGAUCCCACCAGGACCACAGUGGGCCUGACUGUGACAAAUUAGCAGGGUGAUGUGGCCUUCUACCUUACUGCUUUUAUAGUUGUAUUUUAUAUAGCAGAUAAUUUUGUGAGGGGAUAUUUGAGAGGUUGGGAGGCAGGGAAGGCGUUUCUCACUUGAGAAAUGACAAGAGACCCAAAGAGGGGGUUAAUGGGCAAGAGCUGGGCCUUAGGAACCCUGCCUCACUAGGCCAUACCCAAGCUGUCCUGCUUGGGCUGCUUCUGACAGGAAAGGCUUCACACGGACUUUGAUAUUGUUGGUCCUUAAACUCUACCAAGGCAGGAGGGUGGUGGGUAAUAGAGGAGUGUGGAUGACCAUUUUGACCACUUCCCCCCUCCUUUCAGGUCAAGGCCUUCUUGGCUGAUCCAUCUGCCUUUGUGGCUGCUGCCCCUGUGGCUGCUGCCACCACAGCUGCUCCUGCUGCUGCUGCAGCCCCAGCUAAGGUUGAAGCCAAGGAAGAGUCGGAGGAGUCGGACGAGGAUAUGGGAUUUGGUCUCUUUGACUAAUCACCAAAAAGCAACCAACUUAGCCAGUUUUAUUUGCAAAACAAGGAAAUAAAGGCUUACUUCUUUAAAAAGUC
rnacentral:lncRNA from 1 species